rnacentral:rRNA from 1 species
CUACGGGGGGCUGCAGUGAGGAAUAUUGCGCAAUGGGGGAAACCCUGACGCAGCGACGCCGCGUGGAUGAUGAAGGCCUUAGGGUCGUAAAAUCCUGUCAGGUGGGAAGAAGUGGAUAUAGAUUAAUACUCUAUUUCUUUGACGGUACCACCAAAGGAAGCACCGGCUAACUCCGUGCCAGCAGCCGCGGUAAUACGGAGGGUGCAAACGUUGUUCGGAAUUGACUGGGCGUAAAGCGCGCGUAGGCGGUUUGUUAAGUCAGAUGUGAAAGUCCAUGGCUCAGCUAUGGAAGUGCAUUUGAAACUGGCAGACUUGAGUACUGGAGGGGGUGAUGGAAUUCCCGGUGUAGAGGUGAAAUUCGUAGAUAUCGGGAGGAAUACCGGUGGCGAAGGCGAUCACCUGGCCAGAUACUGACGCUGAGGUGCGAAAGCGUGGGGAGCAAACAGGAUUAGAUACCCUUGUAGUC